rnacentral:rRNA from 1 species
AUUGAACGCUGGCGGCAUGCCUUACACAUGCAAGUCGAACGGCAGCACGGGAGCUUGCUCCUGGUGGCGAGUGGCGAACGGGUGAGUAAUGCAUCGGAACGUGCCCUGAAGUGGGGGAUAACGUAGCGAAAGUUACGCUAAUACCGCAUAUUCUGUGAGCAGGAAAGCAGGGGAUCUUCGGACCUUGCGCUUUUGGAGCGGCCGAUGUCGGAUUAGCUAGUUGGUGGGUAAGGACCGACCAAGGCGACGAUCCGUAGCGGGUCUGAGAGGAGUGAUCCGCCACACUGGAACUGAGACACGGUCCAGACUCCUACGGGAGGCGAGCA